rnacentral:lncRNA from 1 species
UAAUCCUCAAACAUUGAGUCUAUCAAUUGACUUUGCUUCUAAAGUGUGAAAAUUGUCUUUUUGAAUUUUGAUCUGAGAACUAUACAAAUGGACCUCAAUAUUGUCGUAAUAUGUGAAGUCUUCCUUAAGAAUGCUCUAAGUACCUGGCUAUGGAAGAUAAAAUGAAAAUUACUACAAUAAAAUCAUAAUUCUAAUAGAACACUCACAAGGCUGAACAAGCUUUAAUCAAAUUUAGAAAAACCUCAAAAGAAUUAUAAAGAAAAAAAAUAAAUCUUAAAGAAAUAUUGAAAUGAUUACAAACAUAUCUCAAAUACAUCUCAAUUCAAUCUUAAUUUAAUCCUAGUUGAAAUCUUAUUGGACUUCAUUCAAACUUUAGGCAAAAAACUGACUAAAUCUUAAAUCCUAAAUAAAUUCAAAUAAAACCCUAAAUCUUAAAUCAAACCCUAAUCAAUCCUAAACCAAAUCCUAACCAAAUCCCAACCCUAAAUCAUACCCUAUCCAAACUCCAAAUCCUAAAUCAAACUCUAAUUCUAAAUUAAACCCUAACCAAAUCCUAAUCCUUUAAAAAAUUUAAACCACAAUUACUAAUGAAUGAACAAUUGAUAUUAACUCAAAAUUUGCAUGCUUUAUAAAAAUUAAAUUGAAAACAAGCACAAAAAAAUUGAAAAUGAUAGGAAUUACCUAAUAGACAAUUGCCUAAAAAACAUGUUUGGAUAUUGAUCCGCCUUCUUCUCAAACCUAGAUACUAAUCUCCUAAAGCCAAUAUCUCUCUUUUUCAUCAUUUAAUUAAUCUCAAAUUUCUCAUACACAUAGAAAAACAAGUUUAAUAUCCUCACAUUCAAAUUUCACUCUGAUCCAAGAAGUAGAUUGCAAGAAAUCUUUAAA